UGUAAACGUAGCACGUGUGUACUAUUGUUCAAAACAGGAAGAAGGAAUCAAAGAACACAAACGCGGCAUUAAACAAUAUAUAGACUUAUAUGACAAUAUGCAUCUAAUAUGCGAUAUAUUGAGGUUAUUUAAUGUGGAAAUUAUAUAAGCCACUAAUUAAAAUUUCGUGUUACUACCAGCUUUUAAGGUAAUUCAUUUAUAUUGUAUCGACUUUGAUAUCGAAAUCACGGUUCUAUUCUGAUGAAAUUUGAAAAUAUGGUGAAUCAUUUACAAUACACGAUGUACGGGGUCGUCAUUGGAAAAUUGUAGCUAUUUCGUAACAAGUGGGCUGAAUAAAGUAAAUUAAUAACUGUCAUAGAAAGAAUUCAUCAUUUUUAUCACAAUCAAUAAUUAAGAGCGGCG